rnacentral:misc_RNA from 1 species
GGUGAAUCUCAUCUAGUUGAGUGGAAUGAGAGUGAAGGAACUAUCAAACGGACGUAUUCUGGUUUUAGGAAGCGUUCUUCAGGCGUUGUUCAGUUUGACACAACAAGGAGCCGCUUCUUAGCUGCUGGUGAUGAAUUUCAGAUUAAGUUUUGGGAUAUGGAUAAUAUCAACAUGUUGACAGCAGUUGAUGCAGAUGGGGGCUUACCGGCAAGUCCUAGACUGAGAUUCAACAAGGAAGGUUCCUUGUUAGCAGUCAC